UGUCACGUGGUCCAGCCUCAGGGUACAUCCGCAUCCUGGGAUGGUCCUGUGUCACU
ensembl:miRNA